rnacentral:rRNA from 1 species
GAUGAACGCUGGCGGCGUGCCUAAUACAUGCAAGUAGAACGCUGAAGGAGGAGCUUGCUCUUCUGGAUGAGUUGCGAACGGGUGAGUAACGCGUAGGUAACCUGCCUGGUAGCGGGGGAUAACUAUUGGAAACGAUAGCUAAUACCGCAUGACAACAGUUAUUGCAUGAUAACUGUUUAAAAGGGGCAACUGCUCCACUACCAGAUGGACCUGCGUUGUAUUAGCUAGUUGGUGAGGUAACGGCUCACCAAGGCGACGAUACAUAGCCGACCUGAGAGGGUGAUCGGCCACACUGGGACUGUGACACGGCCCAGACUCCUACGGGAGGCAGCAGUAGGGAAUCUUCGGCAAUGGACGGAAGUCUGACCGAGCAACGCCGCGUGAGUGAAGAAGGUUUUCGGAUCGUAAAGCUCUGUUGUAAGAGAAGAACGAGUGUGAGAGUGGAAAGUUCACACUGUGACGGUAUCUUACCAGAAAGGGACGGCUAACUACGUG